rnacentral:rRNA from 1 species
UACGUAGGGUGCAAGCGUUAAUCGGAAUUACUGGGCGUAAAGCGUGCGCAGGCGGUCGUGCAAGACAGAUGUGAAAUCCCCGGGCUCAACCUGGGAACUGCAUUUGUGACUGCACGGCUGGAGUGCGGCAGAGGGGGAUGGAAUUCCGCGUGUAGCAGUGAAAUGCGUAGAUAUGCGAAGGAACACCGAUGGCGAAGGCAAUCCCCUGGGCCUGCACUGACGCUCAUGCACGAAAGCGUGGGGAGCAAACAGG